rnacentral:rRNA from 1 species
CACGUAGGGGGCGAGCGUUGUCCGGAUUUAUUGGGCGUAAAGAGCUCGUAGGCGGUUUCGUAAGUCGGAUGUGAAAACUCCAGGCUCAACUUGGAGACGCCAUUCGAUACUGCGAUGACUUGAGUCCGGUAGGGGAGUGUGGAAUUCCCGGUGUAGCGGUGAAAUGCGCAGAUAUCGGGAAGAACACCCGUGGCGAAGGCGGCUCUCUGGGACGGUACUGACGCUGAGACGCGAAAGCGUGGGGAGCGAACAGG